rnacentral:tRNA from 1 species
UGCCCACUAGCUCACUCAAUAGAGCAUGAGACUCUCAAUCUCAGGGUUGUGGGUUCACACACAAUGUGGUCAU